rnacentral:rRNA from 1 species
CCUACGGGUGGCAGCAGUGGGGAAUAUUGGGCAAUGGGCGCAAGCCUGACCCAGCAACGCCGCGUGAAGGAAGAAGGCUUUCGGGUUGUAAACUUCUUUUCUCAGGGACGAAGCAAGUGACGGUACCUGAGUAAUAAGCCACGGCUAACUACGUGCCAGCAGCCGCGGUAAUACGUAGGUGGCAAGCGUGAUCCGGAUUUACUGGGUGUAAAGGGCGUGUAGGCGGGAAAGCAAGUCAGAUGUGAAAACCAUGGGCUCAACCUGUGGCUUGCAUUUGAAACUGUUUUUCUUGAGUACUGGAGAGGCGGACGGAAUUCCUGGUGUAGCGGUGAAAUGCGUAGAUAUUAGGAGGAACACCAGUGGCGAAGGCGGUCUGCUGGACAGCAACUGACGCUGAGGCGCGAAAGCGUGGGGAGCAAACAGGAUUAGAUACCCUUGUAGUC